GAGAGAUGGCUGAGUGGUUGAUAGCCCCGG
rnacentral:tRNA from 1 species